rnacentral:lncRNA from 1 species
AAAUAACCCAAAAAUCCACAUUUUUAAAAGUCUUAUAACUUUUCAUUUUUGUCCUCACUGGCCUCCAAGUUUUCUAGGAUGAUGCAAUGUCCAGCCAUCAACACAUUUGUGAAGGAAUUUUUACUCGCCAAACGAGCGCCCCCCCAUGGCAGGAGAAAAAAGUCAAUUUUGUCUUGUCCCCUAAGGUGUAAAUUCACACUAUUGACUGUCACGCCUGUACGCUUUGUCAUAUUGACACAAAAAUUGACACACAUAUGUAUCUCAAUAAGAUCUACAAAAAAGUCAGUGCGGGCGUAUUUGUCAAAUGUACGGUUAAAGGGUUAUUUCGCAUUUUUUGCCGAUCCGCACACAUUGGAAUUUCGCUAACUCCUCCGAAGGCUUUCGUUCCACCGGCACCACAUUUGCUCAGGCCAAUCUACACCCCAUGGCCAUUAAAAUUUAUUCAAAUCAUGAUGCUGCACCCCACGGUUUAGGUUCUAGGGGGCGCCAAAAUAACCCUAAAAUCCACAUAUUUAAAAGUCUUAUAACUUUUUAUUUUUGUCCUCACUGGCCUCCAAGUUUUCUAGGAUGAUGCAAUGUCCAGCCAUCAACACAUUUGUGAGGAAUUUUUACUCCCUAAAAGAGCGCCCCCCCAUGGCAGGAGAAAAAAGUCCAUUUUUUCUUGUCCCCUAAGGUGUAAAUUCACACUAUUGACUGUCACGCCUGUACGCUUUGUCAUAUUGACACAAAAAUUGACACACACAUGUAUCUCAAUAAGAUCUACAAAAAAGUCAGUGCGGGCGUAUUUGUCAAAUGUACGGUUAAAGGGUUAUUUCGCAUUUUUUGCCGAUCCGCACACAUUGGAAUUUCGCUAACUCCUCCGAAGGCUUUCGUUCCACCGGCACCACAUUUGCUCAGGCCAAUCUACACCCCAUGGCCAUUAAAAGUUAUUCAAAUCAUGACGCUGCACCCCACGGUUUACGUUCUAGGGGGCGCCAAAAAUAACCCUAAAAUCCACAUAUUUAAAAGUCUUAUAACUUUUUAUUUUUGUCCUCACUGGCCUCCAAGUUUUCUAGGAUGAUGCAAUGUCCAGCCAUCAACACAUUUGUGAAGGAAUUUUUACUCCCCAAAAGAGCGCCCCCCCUAUGGCAGGAGAAAAAAGUCCAUUUUUUCUUGUCCCCUAAGGUGUAAAUUCACACUAUUGACUGUCACGCCUGUACGCUUUGUCAUAUUGACACAAAAAUUGACACACAUAUGUAUCUCAAUAAGAUCUACAAAAAAGUCAGUGCGGGCGUAUUUGUCAAAUGUACGGUUAAAGGGUUAUUUCGCAUUUUUUGCCGAUCCGCACACAUUGGAAUGUGGCUAACUCCUCCGAAGGCUUUCGUUCCACCGGCACCACAUUUGCUCAGGCCAAUCUACACCCCAUGGCCAUUAAAAUUUAUUCAAAUCAUGAUGCUGCACCCCACGGUUUAGGUUCUAGGGGGCGCCAAAAUAACCCUAAAAUCCACAUAUUUAAAAGUCUUAUAACUUUUUAUUUUUGUCCUCACUGGCCUCCAAGUUUUCUAGGAUGAUGCAAUGUCCAGCCAUCAACACAUUUGUGAAGGAAUUUUUACUCCCCAAAAGAGCGCCCCCCCAUGGCAGGAGAAAAAAGUCCAUUUUUUCUUGUCCCCUAAGGUGAAAAUACACAUUGUUGAGUGUCACGCCUGUACGCUUUGGCAAAAUGACACAAAAAUUGACACACACAUGUAUCUCAAUAAGAUCUACGAAAAAGUCUAUGCGCGCGUAUCUGUCAAAUGUACGGUUAAAGGGUUAUUUCGCAUUUUUUGCUGAUCCGCACACAUUGGAAUGUGGCUAACUCCUCCUAAGGCUUUCGUUCCACCGGCAACACAUUUGCUCAGGCCAAUCUACACCCCAUGGCCAUUAAAAGUUAUUCAAAUCAUGACGCUGCACCCCACGGUUUACGUUCUAGGGGGCGCCAAAGAUGACCCAAAUAUCCACAUUUUUUGAAGUCUUAUAAUUUUUUAUUUUUGUCCUGACUGGCCUUUUGUCCCACUGACACCAAAUUUGCUCAGGCCAAUCUACACCCCAUGGCCAUUCAAAGUUGUACAAAUCAUGACGCUGCACCCCACGGACAACCAUGAAGCUCCAUCCAAACCUGAAGCAGGCAGUUGGUGCAUGUGUACAGUACCCUGAGGGGAGUGAGGUGACUGCUUCUGAGGAGAACAUGAGCAGUGAAGAUUCACUUUGGAGCUAGAACAGAGACGUGCACAUGAUUAUACAGGGGCAGGGGCUCAAGUUUUUUCCAGUCGUUUAUACAAUAUGGAAAUUAAUGUGAAAUUAAAAAACAAAGUAUUAAUAGAAAGGUAAUGACUGUCCUGUGUAGGUGACAGUGAUAUCCAAUAGGCUAGGCACUCACGAGGCUGGCUGUGGCAAGUGUAAGUGAAAGCAACACACACUGGCAGGAAGAACAGCAAACGCAGAUGAAGGAAAAGGGUCUUUGCAGUGAUGGGCGUUACCAGAGAGGGCGAUGGCCAGAGGACGCGAAUGGGACGGGGAGGCAGCGCGUUGGGGGGGGCGGCGCGACACGGCUCGGGCCCGCCAGUGCCCCAACGGGGCCCUAGUCUGAUUAUGUUGCCUUCAGGAAAAGUGGGUACUUUGAAAGAUAUGACUAAACACUUUCUAUACACCGUAUUCACCUGAUAGCAGUAAAUACAGUUAUGCUGAGGACACAGUUAAUUUUUACAAGCUGUUUUGGACAACUCUUUGCAAUUAUCAAUAUAUAAAAACUGUAAAAUACAGCCGAUGUUAACUUUAACACCCAUACUUAAAGAAAAGAUGUUUUCCGUUUCCACAUACAACAGUUAAAGCAGCACAGUAUCAUGGACUACAAUGGCAUCCUCCUCAGCAAGAAACCUGUAGGCGUGCAGGUAAGAAAUGUUAUUUUUAGAAAAGGAACAGCAGAAAUGAUCCUAAAUAUCUUAAAGGGGGAAUUAUGCUUUUCCACAUCAACAACAAAAACUGCAGUUACAAAUUUAGUGUUCACAUAAUGUGUAUGCAAAGUUUCAAAUCACAAGGUUUCCUGAGCCACAGGCUGUGUCAUAAUUAUCAGCUCAUGGACUAAACUACCCUCCGGUGAAGACUGCUGAUCGGACCCUGGUGUUGAUCCUGGUUUUGGCUCUACUCUGGAUAGUUUCCAGAGUUUUGAAGCACUUUAUUUGAUGUCAUUUUAAAGAGGACCAUUUUAUUUUUCUGCGUGAAUCACUUGGACAAACACAGCCGUAGCUUUGGUUCUUCAAGCAGUCAGUGACAUACAUUUUUUGCCUUGAUUAUAGUUUUUCUUUUAGUUUUGUAACAUCUAGGAACCUCAGGGACAAAAACCCAGAUACGGAAAUACUUGGAAGACUCUACGUUUUCAGGAAAUGUAUGAUAUGUAGGGUUGGGUAUCGUUUGAUUUUGAACGAUUCCGAUUCCAAUUUCGAUUCCUCAUUUCGAUUCCGAUUCCUAUCGAUUCUCUAAUUCGAUUCUUUUAAAAGGCAGGAUAUCAAAAAGAAAAAAGAAAAAAAAAGCAUGGUUUGAAUGAGGGUGCUAACCGGGGCUCUUCUUUUUGGAUGAAAUUUCUGAACUUCUCCAUGAAUUUUUAAAUCCUAUUAACUUUUUAAGAACUUUACUAUGGAUUUCUCACAGAGCUAUUUUCAACCAGUAUAUAAAUAUCAAUUUUUGUUUUCAGGUCGUUUGUCUAUGAAAAAGCACAAGGGCUAACGUUAGAUGGAUAUUUAAGUUUACUCACCGUACACAGUUCAAUUUCUUUACCGUUUCAAAGUUAGCAGAGGACAGAAGUCAUUUAUUGUUUCACUUAUCUGAUCCUGACUGGUUAGCGGAAGACAGGUGUUGUGCUGUAGAAUGCACCCCUGCCGUAGAAUGCCUCCCCUUCACUGAUUAGCUUCUUAGUGGAAGAAAUAUGAUCUCAUAUUUAAUAAAACACGGGUAUUAGAUCAUGAAAACGUGUCAAAUGGAGCAGUAAACUUUCGUUUUGUUUGUAUGUGUCUCAAAAAUGCAAACAUAAAGGUGUACUUGGGUAUAUAAACUGUAGAGUAAGCUGUUAAUGUAGAGAACAUUAUAUUUUCAGGACAGUAAAUAUUCUGAAUCAGAGGGCUAUUGUUUUCGGCAUAUCUGAAUAGCCUGAAUGAAAUCAUUAAAGGCACACGCUUUAGAUUCCGUCCAACGGUAAGAAAAACUUGGAUUGUUUC